AACGAACGCUGGCAGCGUGGAUUAGGCAUGCAAGUCGAACGGGAAGCCGUGAGUUCAAUCCUUCGGGAGAGAUCAUGCGGUGGAGAGUGGCGUAAGGGUGAGGAACGCGUGGGUAAUUUGCCUUCGAGUUGGGGACAACCCUCCGAAAGGAGGGCUAAUACCGAAUAUGGUCUCCUGUCGCAUGGCAGGAAGAUUAAAGGUGGGGACCCUUCGGGGCCCAUCGCUUGAAGAGAAGCCCGCGUCCCAUCAGCUUGUUGGUGAGGUAACGGCUCACCAAGGCUUACGGGUAGCUGGUCUGAGAGGAUGAUCAGCCACACUGGGACUGAGACACUGCCCAGACUCCUACGGGAGGCUGCAGUCGAGGAUCAUUUGCAAUGCGCGGAAGCGUGACAAUGCGACGCUGCGUGAAGGAUGAAGGCCUUCGGGUCGUAAACUUUUGUCAUUCGGAAACAAAGGCAAUAGGGUUAAUACCCCUAUUGAUUGAGGGUACCGAAAGAGGAAGCCACGGCUAACUCUGUGCCAGCAGCCGCGGUAAUACAGAGGUGGCGAGCGUUGUUCGGAUUUACUGGGCGUAAAGGGUGCGUAGGUGGUUUUGUAUGUCGGAUGUGAAAGCCCAUGGCUCAACCGUGGAAGUGCAUCUGAAACUGCGGAACUAGAGUGCAGGAAGGGAGAGCGGAAUUCUUGGUGUAGCGGUGAAAUGCGUUGAUAUCAAGAAGAACACCGGCGGCGAAGCGGCUCUCUGGAAUGCUACUGACACUGAGCACGAAAGCUAGGGUAGCGAACAGAUUAGAUACCCUGGUAGUCCUAGCUGUAAACGGUGUGAACUUGGUGUAGGGGGAAUUGACCCCCCCUGUGCCGAAGCUAACGCAUUAAGUUCACCGCCUGGGGAGUACGACCGCAAGGUUAAAACUCAAAGAAAUUGACGGGGGCCCGCACAAGCGGAGGAGCAUGUGGCUUAAUUCGAUGCAACGCGAAGAACCUUACCAGGGCUUGACAUGCAGCUGCAAACCUCCUGAAAGGGAGGAAUCCUUCGAGGGUGCUGUGCAGGUGCUGCAUGGCUGUCGUCAGUUCGUGCCGUGAGGUGUUGGGUUAAGUCCCGCAACGAACGCAACCCUUAUGUUUAGUUGCCACCCCCGAUUUAUCGGGGAGCACUCUAGACAGACUGCCCGUGCAAGCGGGAGGAAGGUGGGGAUGACGUCAAGUCAGUAUGGCCCUUACGCCCUGGGCUGCACACGUGCUACAAUGACGGGUACAGAAGGACGCAAUACCGCGAGGUGGAGCAAAUCCUCAAAACCCGUCCCAGUUCGGAUUGGAGUCUGCAACUCGGCUCCAUGAAGUUGGAUUCGCUAGUAACGGCGUAUCAGCAACGAUGCCGUGAAUACGUUCCCGGGCCUUGUACACACCGCCCGUCACAUCAUGAAAGCCGUCUGCACUCGUAGUCGUUGAUCCAACCUGCAAAGGAGGAAGACGCCGAAGGUGUGGGUGGUGAUUGGGAUG
rnacentral:rRNA from 1 species